rnacentral:lncRNA from 1 species
CAUAUGAUAAUCAAUAGAUAGCCUGUUCGCUUGACUUUAUCAGCCGAGGCCUUGUUUAGUUCACCAAAAAACUUUGUAAGAUUUCCCGUCAUAUCAAAUUUUGCGGCACAUGUAUGGAGCACUAAAUAUAGACAGAAAUAAAAACUAAUAGUAUUAUUUUGUUAAGUAAAUAAUUCGAUCCUUCCAUGUGAGUUCAUUAAUAGGGCGUCUAGUCUCCUGUUAUAAUAUUUUUAUUACUAAUUAUAUUAUUUUGCUAUAUAAAUAAAUUCAUACUGAGCUAUGAGUUGUCACCGGUGUGUUCGGUCACCGGUCGUCACACAAUUUCUUUACUACUAUUAGUAUCUUUUUGUUAAGUUAAUAAUUCUCUAUGAUUUGCUACUAUUACCAUUUGCUAUUAUAAAUAGCUUCUUAAUAAAUAAAUCCAUACUGACCUAUGAAUUUAUUUUUUGUUACUACUAUUAUCAUUUGCUUUUAUAAUUAACUAUAAUAGGACAUGCUCGUGUGUAGUCAAUUUCUCGCUGCUAUUUACCAAAGUGUCCGAUCUCCCAAUGAUGAAUUUAUUAUAGCUAUUAUCAUUUGCUUUAUAAUUAUUGAGGAUAGGUGUGCAGUAAAUUUGGUUCUUCUACUUAUCAAGGUGUUAGGUCUUCUAAUGAUGAAUUCUUUCAUUACUGCUAUUACCAUUUGCUCCCAUAUAUUAUUUGAGCUCAUGCACAGUAAAUUUGGUGCUCCUAUACAACAUAUAUCAUUUCAUUCGUAUGAUAUACGGGAUUUCGGGAGAUCAAAAACAAAUUGUAUAAAAUUAGCCGCUACAGCUGUAGAUUGAUCCGGGCAUUGCACAACGGCGGCAUCUUCUUUAGACAAACACAAAAAAAAAUAAAAAUAAAAAAAAUCAUCCAUCAAUCUAUGCUAGUUUCUCUUAGGAGCAUAUGAACCUGAGCCGCAUUUGAAGUACCACCGGGAGAUUGAUGACACGGAUCAAGCCGUGGAUUUUUUUUCCCUCCCAAACAAUCAACCUCCACAUCGAAUCCAUAGGAGAGGAGAACCUGGAAGCACCGGAUGCACAGGGGAGGUUAGAACGGAUGCCAUCAGUGUUAUAAUCUAUACCUAUCUAUAAAAAGUCAAAAUUUCAGUAUGUCCAAUAUUUUCUUCUGUCUUCUCCUGUCCGCGUUCGGUUUGCCGAAUCGGUGGCCUCCUCCGUCUAAGGUUUGUAGAAGAGCAAAAAAAUAAUAAAAAACUUUCUAGGUCCCCAAUGCAAAAUCUCCUAUUACUUUUCUGCGGCUCCCGUCGAUCGCCUUUGCCGUCGGUCGGCCCAAUUAGCCCACCUGGAAUCGGUACGAUGGAAGAGAGAAAAAAAAAUUUCUAGGGUUCCCAAUGUAAAAUCUCCAAUUUACUUUUCUUUUAUUCUUUAAAUCGGCUAAAAAUUGAUAAAUGCGUAGUAAUUCAUAGAAAAAUCUAAAAAUUAUAAAACAAAUUUUGUUCAGCUCCACAUAUGUAGAUCCAUGCAGUAAACAAAAAAUAUCACAAAUUUUAGUACACUUAUUUUUGUUGGAAAUGCUUGCCUAUGCUUUUUAGUGUAAAAUUAAAAUUGUAGUUGUCUUGCUCCAAUUAUUAUAAAAAUUUUAUGGUAGCCUAUUUAAUAUGAUGCUUGAUUCAUAUUUCAUAGCAAUCCUAAUCUAAAUAAAAAAAUAAUGCUAGCAUCAAACUUCUCAUGUUGAUAUAAUACUGAGUAUAUUAAGAGGUAAUAUUAGAGUGAGAUAAGGUUUAACUAGUUUCUAUUUUUAUUAUUAAAUAAAUAUGUCUUCAAGCUACAUAUUAUUGUAAAUAUUAACUAUCUAAUACCAUAGAUGUUAUGGUUAUCAAUAAAAUAAAUUAUGGACUUUAAAUUUUAUAAAAAGAAUAAAUAUAAAUAGAUAUGUAACAUUAUGUCAUCACUUUCUAAGGUCAUUUGAUGUUUUUCUUCCGUUACAACGCAC